GAGAGUGAUAGACGCUCUACCAGGGACAAGACAGGUUGCAUUUACAGCAUCAGUGGUCAGAGGAAUGAGCUCUGACUGCCUCGUGACAUCAAACCAGAAGAUCAGACAUCAAAAAGCAAAUGAUACUAUUUUUUAGAGAACUCCAACCAAACCUACUCACAAAACAAGUUCAUACCAUUUUGAUAUUUUAUUUACAGACUGGCUCUUCGAGCUGCUGCGCCCAUGGGUGUGAAGGUUCUCCAGUGUUUUCCCUGGUACAGGAGGUGUAAAGACAGAGGCAAGGGCAGACACUGCCCCCCUAAAGCAGUUCCAUACAUUGAAGCGGAGCCCCAGUUUGCCCCGACAACCUAUGCCAGCGCUGGAGGAGGAGUUGUCUACUUUUCCCACAAGGCAAGAGUGGCCUACAGACAUCAGAUGGAAGACAACGUUAUAGAUACCACCUACUGACCCCUAGCCUCAUCCUGCAGCCCCUGCUGCCCAAACACCCCUCAAAGACUGUCUGCUCAGAAUCCUCUGUCUCACAACAGACUAUAUCCCAGUUCUUCAAUGAUCUUGUUUGUAGUUGAGGAGCUCAGUUCAUCUCAAUGUUAGAGAUAGUUGCUUGAAUGAAGAUGGAGGCUGAGUAGCACUUUUGAGAACAGUCUGAUAGGCAUACAACAUUUUUUGACAGAAUUGGAAGAAAACACUUUUGUAGAUAAGGGUAAAGAAAAUGUGUUUACGCUAUUACCUUAAAGUGCAUUCUUCUUGUUUUAUCAUUUGUCACUUUAUUUAUUGUUCUAGGGUCAAUGUUGAGUAUUUAUUGUUUUAGGAUGAAUGUUUUGCAUCUAAAUUACGUUUUGUAGUUGUCCAUUUGCUGUAAAAUCCCAUCUAGCAACUGGUGUUGUAGACUAGUCAUAACUAAUGCACGGCUAUGCGAUGAAUGCUAUAAUUCUACAACUGUCAAUUAUUUCUGUCACUUUAUAUUCUAUUUGUGUUGUUUCUUUUGAAAUAAUGGAACAAUACUAAUGUUACAUUACUAAUAAUGUAACAAGUAUAUUUU